UGGUGAUCACAGGGUUCAAACAGUGUCCUCU
rnacentral:piRNA from 1 species